GGAAGAGAACAGAUUAUAUUGGGCGAAUUUAACUGGAUUUCGGAUUACGAAGUUGUUUUCGGAGCAAGAAAUGGUCAACAAUUAAAGCCUGCUGUUCCAAAGGCUGGAUGACAAAGUCGCAAAAGAAAUGAAGUGUGGCUAAUUACCGCCUGACUACUCUUCCUAUCUCAACUUAAAUUGUUACCAGUCUGCCAUCAUAAUUGGGGCCACAUUACAGCAACAGAUUCACCAGACGUGAAGGAAAUCAAAGAGGAAGCAGUCAUAAUCUCUCUAAGACAGUCAGUUGUCAGAGGACAU